rnacentral:tRNA from 2 species
GCCUCCGUAGCUCAAUUGGAUAGAGCAUCAGUCUUCGGAACUGAGGGUUGGGGGUUCAAAUCCCUCCGGAGGUA